rnacentral:rRNA from 1 species
UGCCCUACAGUUCCCCGCCCCGGGAACAAGGAGCUGGUAUCAGACACACCGCCCGGAGCCCACGAAGCCUUGCUUAGCCACACCCUAAAGGGAACUCAGCAGUGAUAAACAUUAAGCCAUAAGUGAAAACUUGACUUAGUCAAGGCUAAGAGGGCCGGUAAAACUCGUGCCAGCCACCGCGGUUAUACGAGAGACCCAAGUUGAUGACCACCGGCGUAAAGCGUGGUUAAGUUAAAACUCACACUAAAGUCAAACAUCUUCAAGACUGUUAUACGUACCCGAAGACAGGAAGUUCAACCACGAAAGUGACUUUAUAUGAUCUGACCCCACGAAAGCUAAGGAACAAACUGGGAUUAGAUACCCCACUAUGCCUAGCCAUAAACAUUGAUAGUACUACACACCGACUAUCCGCCUGGGAACUACGAGCAAUAGCUUAAAACCCAAAGGACUUGGCGGUGCUUUAGAUCCACCUAGAGGAGCCUGUUCUAGAACCGAUACCCCCCGUUCAACCUCACCCUUCCUUUGUUUAUUCCGCCUAUAUACCGCCGUCGUCAGCUUACCCUCUGAGGGUCUAAUAGUAAGCAAAACUGGCACAGCCUAAAACGUCAGGUCGAGGUGAAGCGGAUGGAAGGGGAAGAAAUGGGCUACAUUCGCUACWACAGCGAACACGAAAGAUGYRCUGAAACAYYCAUCUGAAGGAGGAUWUAGCAGUAAGYRG